GAGCUCUGCUGUGUUCUAACCCUGACCGCGUCUCGGAACAGGACCCAGAGGGCGGGUUCACCGUCCUCGUCCCCAGGGAUGGGGUGUGCGGGGGCCUCAUUCUCCCCUGGCCAGGCCGCCGAGUGACAGUCGUGUUGGCCGUCGUUGCUCUGAGCUGCUCCGGGCAGCAGGGAACCAGACACCGCAGCUUAGAAAGAUGAGGAAACUGAGCCUUAGAGAGAUCAAGUUAUUUGCUACGCUCACCUGUUGUUUCCUUGAGACUACAAGGAAGAUGAGAGAAGCUGCCUAUUGUAUUAAGGUGUCCAGUGGCCUUGAUCAAACAAGAUGGGAAAAUGAGAGCAAACACAUCAUAAUACAUGAGGCAACACAGCUUGUCUGGGGCCUGCUUGCAGACUUCAGUCACUUCUGGCUACACCUAUGGCAGGACUGAUGUGUGCACUGUCUCAUGCUAUUAAAGAAGGGGGCAAACUGAGAAAACUCAAAAAUCCCCCGGCUGGACAUCUUCCUCAGCUUCCUUGGGAUACAUUCCUGGAGGACCAGCUGUGUGCCUGUGUUUUCCUGAUGAGAUACGGGUGAUAUUUGCUGUCGUGGUUCAGAAGGCUGAGCGCUG